CCCGGCGCGGCCCCCACCCGCAGCCGGCGCCGGGAGCCCGGUGUCCUCAAAGCAGAGCACUGAUGAGCCCCCGGAGAGCGCCGGCGUCUCCAGAGCCCCGGACAGCAGCUGCAGGAGGCCUGAGAGGCAGUCAGGCAUCUGUGCCAUCUCCUACGACUACUCUGAAGAGGAGCUGAUGGCCAGCAUCGAGCGGGAGUAUUGUCGAUGAGGCCUCCGGAGCAGCCCUGCAGGCCCCUGUCCCAGCCAGCCGGAUGCUGCUCCUUUGCCCCACCCCCACAAGAUUGGGGUUGCACCCCCGCACCCCAGCCCUGCCCUGCCCAGGCUCUGGCUGGAGCUGAGCCCCUCCAACAUGCAGUUACUCCUGGUUCUUUCAAAGAUCCAGCUUCAAGCUUGCUGGCAAGGGGUGGUCAGCCGCGCAGACACAGGUGCAAAGGCAGGCACAGGUGCGGCCCCCAGGUGCGGGCACAGGUGCUGUCCCAGGUGCGCGUGCAGGUGCUCUCCCAGCUGCUCCUUUCUCGGUCUCUGGGGAGGGCUUGCCUGCGGGGUUCUCCUGGAGCCUGAAAUGCUUCCCAUGUCGAAUGGCCCUCUCUGCUCCGGGACUGGGGCUCCUCAGUGCUCAGUGCUCAGUGCUCCUCCCGGACGGGCUCCCUUGGGGCCUCUAACACGUCCCUGAUUCUGCACACGAGCUGCCUGGAGAUGUGGAUGUGUGAAUUGGGGUUCUGGGGGGUUGGGGCAGGGCCGGAGAGUCUGCAUUUCUAACAGGUCCCUGGGGGACACCCCUGUUCCUGGACCCCAGCCUCACUCGGGGUAGGAAGGAUUGCGUCUAAGCUUUAGACCUUAUCUGACUCUUCCUUCCCGGCACUGGGGCUGUGAGAGCCACCGCCCGCCUUGCUCCCUGGAUAGAGGCCUGCUCCCCUCCUGGGCAGAUGUGAUGGACGCAGCAUGCGGAGCUGCGAGCUGGAGCCCUCAGUUCUGAUCCCGAGCGAGCAGCCACUUUACCCCUUGGGCCUCAGUUUCCCUCUCAAGAAACUGACCCCUGGAGGCUCUUCCAGGCAUAGCAACCCCGACAAUCUGGGAUCAGGCAAUUCCAGGAUUCCUAGAUCUCUGCUGUCCUGCCACCCCCUGGGGCACAGAGCUGCCUCUGCAGCUGUAGGGGGGUGGGGUGGAGGGAGAACCCCAGCCCCACCUGGAGGAGGUCCUGAGAACACCUGCUCUCACCAGCCUGAUGGGACUGGUUUCCUCUCUUCCCACCUGGGAGAAGGCACAAAGUCAUUGUGGUGAGGCCAAGAGAGCCCAAGAACGUCCCUGUCUGACAGAUGAAGAAGCCGAUUUGCCGGGGAUGGCUGUGAAUCCAAGAUGGGGCCGGGGGAGCCAGAGGCUGACCGGAAGGCAGGACCCUGCGGGGGUGCAGGCAUGGCCGGCCUUGGAAGAAGGCUCUGGCUGGCGUGCAUUCUGGGUCAGGGUGGCAGGUCCCUCUGGAGCAGCUGGGAGGGUGUCCGAACAAAGGGGCACGUUAGUGCGACGUUAGCUUUUGCCAAAGCCAGAAGAGGUCUCAACUCGUCACACGCAGUUCCCACCAACUCCUGCAGCCUCCCUGGCGUCGCCGGCAAGACGUGAGAUCUUCUCGGGCACAGAUGCAAGGCCCCUUGGCACUGUCCCCAGACCCACAGGCCUGCUGCCGUCACAGGCAAACCGGUGUUUCCAUCGACUUUUAUUACUUGGCAAGACAGCCUUUGGUCAGAUGUUCCAUCGCUGGGAGACUGUACCUCCGAGCCAGAGGACGGUGCGUGGGGCCUUCCAACAACCCCAAGUCCCCCCAACAGCGAGAGCUCCUCCCCAUGCAAGCCCAAAUCAUUUUUUGUGAUCAAAGAUGAAAGCCAUUUCUAUUUUAAUAAUACAGAUAUUUCUCUUAAAA